rnacentral:snRNA from 1 species
AUAGAAUAAAAUAAAUAAAAUUGGAAUGAUAACAGGAAAGAUUAGCAUGGACCCUGAGCAAGGAUGACACACAGAUUUGUGAGGUGUUCCAUAUUUUA